CUAUCUCGUCACCCGCUUCGUCUUUCUAUCUGGCAGCGAGCGAAUGGAUAGCCCGCCGCCGCCGCCGCCCACAGCCCCCGCCCCCGCCCCGGCCCUGACCAUCUCCUGUACGCCUUAUGCGCCGUCCGCGUCUCAGCCUCACGCCCGCCCAGUUCGCCGGCGGCCCCUCUCCCUCGCUGCACGCGAGCAGGCUGCCGAUCCCGGAUCCAGUGUCGUCCGGGUUUCCUCAUCGACGGUGAGAUCGGCUUGGUCUUCCUCGCGGCGGAGGCGGGGCGGCACGCCGGCCACGCCUUGGGUCGUGAGCGGCUCGAUAUCAAUCUCAUCAAGUACUGGUGCUUUGCAGCCCACUGAUGGAUCAACGACUAAUCUCCCGAGGUUGAUUUGUGUGGACUGAACCUGUUCCUCUAAACCAAGGGGUCCUUCUGGCCCUUCUCCUGCAACUGGCAUGCGACAUAGCAAAUGAGACAUCCUUGCAGCUUCAAUGGAUACAAAGGCAUACCAAUUCCAGAAGAUGUGCACAAGGAAGUUAAUGUAACAAGCAUCUUGAAACUAACUUGUGGUGGCACUUGCUACAAAGCAGUGUAUACAAGAAAGAUGUUUGAUCAUAUUAUCUGCUACAGAUCUGCAUCUGUAGAUUAUGUCAAUGUUCUGGAGCGCACUUGAUUAUGUGAGGUACCAUGGUCUUUUCGGGAUCUUUGAAUCUUGGAGAAAUGCCAUGUUGACCAUUGCGAGGUGCUGCCUAUUUUUAUUAUUUGGUGAUUACAAUUACUAAAUGUAUCAUACUUGUUGUAAGAUGAACUUCUGGAGAAUAUAUGUCACAUAUAUGAAUUAUGAAGUGUGUUUUGACAGAUAUAUUGAGGAAAUAAUGAUUCCUAAUUUGUUCUCAGAUAAUUUAUAUCAGUUUGGACCUAAUCAUACCAUUGGUUUGUAAGACAAGAAAUCUGUGACCAAUCCAACCACUACAACAAACAAAAUUUCUUAUCAGCAGGGUUGCUCCUGGACCAAUUAAUUACCAUUUAGAGUGUGCGCGUGCUUAAAAUUCGUGUAUCAAAGAGUUUGUUCUCAGAUAUUGCAGAAUAGUUCUUAUGUGAAGAUUGUUUUGAUAUGUGCCUUCAGCUCUAUGCCUUCGUAAAAGUAGGCCAAAAUCAUAUUUCUAACACUUAUUAAGGGAUGCUAUUUUAGUUCAUUUUCCAUAUGCUUAUGGAGAAUUUCCAAUUAUGCAUUAAAUGGUACUGCAUAACUUAGUUUAUGUAUCUGAAACACUUUUGUAUGUGCUAUAUACACACUUUCUCUCAUGGUUCAACAUGUGAAUAUUGCUUCAGUAACUUGGUGUCAUGCGGAAGGAGGUCCAACUUAGGUGAAGUCUUGUCAAGGGAAAAUAAUGAAUAAGCCGAGCAUCAAAUCAUACAAAUCAAAACCAAGCUCCAACCAACUAUUUGAUUAGUGAUAUAUGUUUGCCACAAAUUUAACAUAUUUUGGGACUAAUUUUAGAAAUUCCGACCAUUCUAUUGCCAAAAUUGACGGGCGCGCAAAGCGCGCCAUCCACGAUCUAGUUCUUCAUAUACUAACCCUCUCCUAAAUGAUAGAUGAGGCAUUUGACUUAUCUCCGUUAUUUUCCUUUCUGCAAAUUAGACCAAUAGUCUCUUUUAGUCAACUUAAGGGUAUGUUGAAUAUGACAGUUAAUGAAGAUGGUCAUUCUUGCUGUUGAAAGUACACAAUCUGACUCAUUUUAAAGUUGUACCUUAUCUUUAUGACAAGACUAAGCUGCUACUUUAGCAAGUGUUUUACUUCAACACAGAUUGCUGUAAGACAGAAAGCAUUUUUUUGCAAUAAAGCAAGCAUUGAACGCACUGAAGUGUCCACAGCAGAAGAGCUUGAAUUUUUUGCUGACAUAAAUUUAAGUAACCUUCUCCAUGCAUAUGCUGUUUCUUUCAACCAUUUGUAUCUAAAUAUCAAUACUCAUUUUGAACUAUAUGCUCAGGCCUACCUUUUUGUUUGAUGUUAUUGGUGUGGUCUGUGUAUAAUUGUUAACUUGAUUGCGAUUUUAGUGAUAGCUCGUCACACACUACAGAAAUCUAUUUUCCAUUCUGUAGCUCUAUGCUCAUCUGCGCCCAGGUGCAGCUAUAGCAUGGUGAAGUAACACUACAGGUAGAGAAGAAAGAAAGGAAGAAUGAUGGUAAGAACCACUGAGAUACCGAGUCCGGCCAGCCAGAAGAGUGUCAGGAGAGUGUUUCUUCAUUGGAAGAGGUGACAAAAAUUGUCCUUUAGAGUAUAUUAGUUGUUUAGCCAUCACUGAGAUAGACUAACACAUACAUUUUGUUUUGUUUUGUACUGCACCCUUAUAAUUUGGCUUUGCUGAAUACACUAUAUUUACUUCAUUUCUCUUUUGAGUUAGCAAUAAUGAUCAGUUAACAAUGUUUUAGCUGAUGAUUCAGGACAAUAUCGGCCGGUUCAUUGAGCAGAGUGGUGGGAAGCUCACGAAAACACCCUUUCCAAACAGAUUUUCUUUUUCAUCAUUGUGAAGGUUGAUUUUACCUAUUUCACUUAGAUGGUGACCUCCCUGCACUCCCAUUUUUUGCUUUGGAUUCUCUUUUAAAUGGUGAGCGCUCAGAUUCUGAACAUUGCCUCUUUAGUACUGUUUUAUUAUUUUAUGAAAUUUAAGAAAAUAUGACCAAUGUGAUUUUGUUCUCUAAAGACUGGAAUUGAAUAGUAGGUCCUUUUGGUACUGUCCUAUUACGAUUUGUGGCUAAGAAAUGCAUCAGUUCGACUAGGCAUUAUCAUGUAUUGUACCGUAGUAUCAUUUUUGCAUAGACUAAAUACCUACUUUUGCUGAAGGUUACUUUUCUUAAUAAAAUUUGGUUCAGGACGCUGUUUUGCCUGUUGUAGUACUUUCAGCAUAGAUGCAGUAGUGGUCUGCUCCCCAAAGAUCUGUAGCUCGUGGAUGCAGUGGAUGUGGCACAGGGAGCAGAUGAAAUGGGAAUAAGAGGAUCCCCUGCACGUGCACAAAUUCUUGCUACCUGAUGGCUGACGGUGAGGAUGCCUCUGACCUGUCUCGAGAAGGUUCGAGCCGCAGGACCAUGAGUAGAGCGCACCACCAAUUCCUCCAACAGCACAGCUGUUGUACUGGUAGCAGCGACAACAACUCUCCACACAAGCGUCGAUGUACCUGAUGCCGUGUUCUGCCGGAGCCAAGGUCCAGCGCAUUUUAGUUUUGUGGGAUAGACAUGUUAGUUCAAAUGCCCAACGGGUUUGAUGCUGAAUUGUUCGUAUAAUCUUGCACCUAUUUUUGUAGUCAAAUAAUGAUUUUUAGAUGCAUUAGUUAAGAAGACUGAUUUUUUUGGAAAGCUUAUCAUGACAUGGAUCUUAGUUUUGCUUUA